rnacentral:lncRNA from 1 species
AUAUCUGCCCAUGUGACUCCUACACGCCUGAUUACUAUGGUUUCAAGGUCAGACCUUAAAAAAACUUGGCCCAAAGCUUUUCUGAUUCGAGUCCUUUGGCUAUCUCUGACCUUGCUCCAACUAGCCAUGUCUGUUCAAGCCUGGUCUUGACGUCUCCUGCUUAGAUCAUGACUUUCCAAGCCUUUCUCACUAUUUGGGGUUCUUCUGAAACUCUAACCUUUGAGGUUCUUCUAAUUUUUAGAUCCGUUGUAGAUCUGUAUUUUCUCCAAAAUUCUUAAAUGUUUUCUCUUGUUUCCUUCAAAUCUCUGCUUUCAAAACAUUUAUCUUUUCCGAUUUAGGGUUUCGCUAAGUUAUUUCAAAGCUUUUCUGAUUUUUUAACAUGUUAUAUCAUGUUUCUUAUGUUGUUCUUCUAUCGUGUUUCUUAUGUUGUACUUCUAUUGUGUUUUUAUGUGUUUCCCCUUUACUGUGUCCCUAUGUCUUUCUAGAAUUUGCAUGUCAAGAAUCUUAGUUUCUUUUGUGGUUUCCGAAUAUUUUCUUGAUAAUGUUUGCUUGAUUACUUGUCUUUCACCUCUACACUCGAUUGAUGGUUAAAGCCC